GACGAACGCUGGCGGCGUGCUUAACACAUGCAAGUCGAACGGAAAGACCCUGCUCUUGUGGCGUUCUCGAUUGGCGAACGGGUGAGUAACACGUGAGUAACCUGCCCUUGACUUUGUGAUAACUUCAGGAAACUGCGGCUAAUACCGGGUAUGAUCUCCUGCUGCAUGUUGGGGGUUGGAAAGUUUCGGCGGUUUGGGCUGGUCUCGCGGCUUAUCAGCUUGUUGGUGGGGUAGUGGCUUACCAAGGCUUUGACGGGUAGCCGGCCUGAGAGGGUGACCGGCCACAUUGGGACUGAGAUACGGAGCAGAAUGCUACGGGACGCAGCAGUGGGGAAUAUUGCACAAUGGGCGGAAGCCUGAUGCAGCAACGCCGCGUGCGUGAUGACGGCCUUUGGGUUGAAAACCGAUUUCGCAUGUGACGAAGAGUGAGUGACGGUAAUGGGUAAAGAAGCACCGGCUAACUACGUG
rnacentral:rRNA from 1 species